AGCUCCAAUAGCGUAUAUUUAAGUUGUUGCAGUUAAAAAGCUCGUAGUUGGAUUUCGGGUGUGCUGACGCGGUCUGCCUCUGGUAUGUACUGCGGCCGGUGCACCUUUCUGCCGGGGACGAGCUCCUGGGCUUCACUGUCUGGGACUCGGAGUCGGCGAGGUGACCUUGAGCAAACAAGAGUGUUCAAAGCAAGCCUACGCUCUGAAUUUUUUAGCAUGGAAUCACACGAUAGGACUCUGGCCUAUCUUGUUGGUCUGUAGGACCGGAGUAAUGAUUAAGAGGGACAGUCGGGGGCAUUCGUAUUUCAUUGUCAGAGGUGAAAUUCUUGGAUUUAUUGAAGACUAACUACUGCGAAAGCAUUUGCCAAGGAUGUUUUCA
rnacentral:rRNA from 1 species